rnacentral:rRNA from 1 species
AGUCAUAUGCUUGUCUCAAAGAUUAAGCCAUGCAUGUCUCAGUACAAGCCUAAUUAAGGUGAAACCGCGAAAGGCUCAUUAAAUCAGUUAUGGUUCCUUAGAUCGUACCCACAUUUACUUGGAUAACUGUGGUAAUUCUAGAGCUAAUACAUGCAAACAGAGCUCCGACCGGAGACGGAAGGAGCGCUUUUAUUAGAUCAAAACCAAUCGGCGGCGGGUCUCCCGACGUCGUACAACUUGGUGAAUCUGAAUAACUUUCUGCUGAUCGCAUGGUCUCGCACCGGCGACGCAUCUUUCAAAUGUCUGCCUUAUCAACUGUCGAUGGUAGGUUCUGCGCCUACCAUGGUUGUAACGGGUAACGGGGAAUCAGGGUUCGAUUCCGGAGAGGGAGCCUGAGAAACGGCUACCACAUCCAAGGAAGGCAGCAGGCGCGCAAAUUACCCACUCCCGGCACGGGGAGGUAGUGACGAAAAAUAACGAUACGGGACUCAUCCGAGGCCCCGUAAUCGGAAUGAGUACACUCUAAACCCUUUAACGAGGAUCAAUUGGAGGGCAAGUCUGGUGCCAGCAGCCGCGGUAAUUCCAGCUCCAAUAGCGUAU